AAAGACGUGAUAGCCUGCGAAAAGCUCCGGGGAGGCGGCAAAUAUCCUUUGAUCCGGAGAUGUCUGAAUGGGGGAACCCACCUACUUUAAGGUAGGUAUUGCAACAUGAAUACAUAGUGUUGCAAGGCGAACGAGGGGAAGUGAAACAUCUCAGUACCCUUAGGAAAAGAAAUCAAUUGAGAUUCCCUCAGUAGCGGCGAGCGAACGGGGAUCAGCCCAUUAAGUUAUGUGUGUUUUAGUGGAACGCUCUGGGAAGUGCGAACGUAGAGGGUGAUAUUCCCGUACACGAAAGGGCACACAUAAUGAUGACGAGUAGGGCGAGGCACGUGAAACCUUGUCUGAAUAUGGGGGGACCAUCCUCCAAGGCUAAAUACUCCUGACUGACCGAUAGUGAACCAGUACCGUGAGGGAAAGGCGAAAAGAACCCCUGUGAGGGGAGUGAAAUAGAUCCUGAAACCGCAUGCAUACAAGCAGUGGGAGCACCUUCGUGGUGUGACUGCGUACCUUUUGUAUAAUGGGUCAGCGACUUAUAUUCAGUAGCGAGGUUAACCGUAUAGGGGAGCCGUAGAGAAAUCGAGUCUUAAUAGGGCGUUUAGUUGCUGGGUAUAGACCCGAAACCAGGCGAUCUAUCCAUGAGCAGGUUGAAGGUUGGGUAACACUAACUGGAGGACCGAACCCACUGUCGUUGAAAAGCCAGGGGAUGACUUGUGGAUAGGGGUGAAAGGCUAAUCAAGCCUGGUGAUAGCUGGUUCUCCCCGAAAGCUAUUUAGGUAGCGCCUCGGACGAAUACCAUAGGGGGUAGAGCACUGUUUCGGCUAGGGGGUCAUCCCGACUUACCAAACCGAUGCAAACUCCGAAUACCUAUGAGUACUAUCCGGGAGACAGACUGCGGGUGCUAACGUCCGUAGUCAAGAGGAAAACAAUCCAGACCGCCAGCUAAGGCCCCAAAAUCAUAGUUAAGUGGGAAACGAUGUGGGAAGGCAUAGACAGCUAGGAGGUUGGCUUAGAAGCAGCCACCCUUUAAAGAAAGCGUAAUAGCUCACUAGUCGAGUCGGCCUGCGCGGAAGAUGUAACGGGGCUAAAACUAUGUGCCGAAGCUGCGGAUGUAUACUUUGUAUACGUGGUAGGGGAGCGUUCUGUAAGCCGAUGAAGGUGUGUUGAGAAGCAUGCUGGAGGUAUCAGAAGUGCGAAUGCUGACGUGAGUAACGACAAAACGGGUGAAAAACCCGUUCGCCGAAAGACCAAGGGUUCCAGUCCAACGUUAAUCGGGGCUGGGUGAGUCGACCCCUAAGGCGAGGCCGAAAGGCGUAGUCGAUGGGAAAAUGGUUAAUAUUCCAUUACUUCUGUGUAAUGCGAUGAGAGGACGGAGAAGGCUAAAUCAGCCUGGCGUUGGUUGUCCAGGUGAAAGGAUGUAGGCAUGUAUCUUAGGCAAAUCCGGGGUACUCUAUGCUGAGAUCUGAUAGCAAGCUGUACUUGUACAGCGAAGUGGUUGAUGCCAUGCUUCCAGGAAAAGUCUCUAAGCUUCAGUUACACAGGAAUCGUACCCGAAACCGACACAGGUGGUCAGGUCGAGUAGACCAAGGCGCUUGAGAGAACUCUGCUGAAGGAACUAGGCAAAAUGGUACCGUAACUUCGGGAGAAGGUACGCUGUUGUUGGUGAUGGAACUCGCUUCCUGAGCUGACGACAGCCGCAGAAACCAGGCCGCUGCAACUGUUUAUUAAAAACAUAGCACUCUGCAAACACGAAAGUGGACGUAUAGGGUGUGAUGCCUGCCCGGUGCUGGAAGGUUAAUUGAUGGGGUUAGCGUAAGCGAAGCUCUUGAUCGAAGCCCCAGUAAACGGCGGCCGUAACUAUAACGGUCCUAAGGUAGCGAAAUUCCUUGUCGGGUAAGUUCCGACCUGCACGAAUGGCAUAAUGAUGGCGGCGCUGUCUCCAGCAGAGGCUCAGUGAAAUCGAAAUCGCUGUGAAGAUGCAGUGUACCCGCGGCUAGACGGAAAGACCCCGUGAACCUUUACUGCAGCUUGACACUGAACUUUGACCUUACUUGUGUAGGAUAGGUGGGAGGCUUUGAAGCUGGAACGCUAGUUCCAGUGGAGCCGUCCUUGAAAUACCACCCUGGUAAUGUUGAGGUUCUAACUCUGUCCCGUGAUCCGGGACGAGGACCGUGUCUGGUGGGUAGUUUGACUGGGGCGGUCUCCUCCUAAAGAGUAACGGAGGAGUACGAAGGUGCGCUCAGCGUGGUCGGAAAUCACGCGUAGAGUAUAAAGGCAAAAGCGCGCUUAACUGCGAGACCCACAAGUCGAGCAGGUACGAAAGUAGGUCUUAGUGAUCCGGUGGUUCUGUAUGGAAGGGCCAUCGCUCAACGGAUAAAAGGUACUCUGGGGAUAACAGGCUGAUACCGCCCAAGAGUUCAUAUCGACGGCGGUGUUUGGCACCUCGAUGUCGGCUCAUCUCAUCCUGGGGCUGAAGCAGGUCCCAAGGGUAUGGCUGUUCGCCAUUUAAAGAGGUACGCGAGCUGGGUUUAGAACGUCGUGAGACAGUUCGGUCCCUAUCUACCGUGGGCGCUGGAAAUUUGAGAGGAUCUGCUCCUAGUACGAGAGGACCAGAGUGGACGAACCUCUGGUGUACCGGUUGUGACGCCAGUCGCAUCGCCGGGUAGCUAUGUUCGGAAGGGAUAACCGCUGAAAGCAUCUAAGCGGGAAGCCUACCUCAAGAUAAGAUUUCCCUAGGACUUUAUGUCCUCUAAAGAGCCGUUCGAGACUAGGACGUUGAUAGGUUGGAUGUGGAAGCAUAGUGAUAUGUGAAGCUGACCAAUACUAAUUGCUCGUGAGGCUUGACUA
rnacentral:rRNA from 1 species